rnacentral:rRNA from 1 species
CUUGAACGCUGGCGGCAGGCUUAACACAUGCAAGUCGAGCGGAGAUGAGGUGCUUGCACCUUAUCUUAGCGGCGGACGGGUGAGUAAUGCUUAGGAAUCUGCCUAUUAGUGGGGGACAACAUUCCGAAAGGAAUGCUAAUACCGCAUACGUCCUACGGGAGAAAGCAGGGGAUCUUCGGACCUUGCGCUAAUAGAUGAGCCUAAGUCGGAUUAGCUAGUUGGUGGGGUAAAGGCCUACCAAGGCGACGAUCUGUAGCGGGUCUGAGAGGAUGAUCCGCCACACUGGGACUGGGACACGGCCCAGACUCCUACGGGAGGCAGCAGUGGGGAAUAUUGGACAACGGGGGGAACCCUGAUCCAGCCAUGCCGCGUGUGUGAAGAAGGCCUUAUGGUUGUAAAGCACUUUAAGCGAGGAGGAGGCUACUGAGACUAAUACUCUUGGAUAGUGGACGUUACUCGCAGAAUAAGCACCGGCUAACUCUGUGCCAGCAGCCGCAGUAAGAC